CAAACGUUGCUCGGAAUCAUUGGGCGUAAAGCGCACGUAGGCGGUCUUGUAAGUCAGGAGUGAAAGCCCUCGGCUUAACCGGGGAAGUGCUUUUGAAACUGCAAGACUUGAAUACUGGAGAGGAUCGCGGAAUUCCCGGUGUAGCGGUGAAAUGCGUAGAUAUCUGGAGGAACACCGGUGGCGAAGGCGGCGUUCUGGACUGCAACUGACACUGAGGAACGAAAGCCAGGGGAGCAAACGGG
rnacentral:rRNA from 1 species